CCCAGAAAUGGCAACACUGAACUCCUGACAAAACCUAGGAUUUCUUGGCUCUGGGCCUAGGCAGGCAGAGGAUGUGUCGGCAGCCAGGGAGAAGUAAAGUCUGAGGACAAAGGAAGCGAGAAGGGGAAGUUUAUAUCAAAGACGGACGUUGGGAUUACUCAUCGGUGUUGACUGCAAAGAGAGGAGCACAGAGUCACUCAUUAGCCUGGAAUUCACCGAGUUGGCUAGACUGCCAGGCCAACAUGUCCCAGAGCUGGGAUUACAAGCACACCCCAUCAAGCCCAUCACCUAAGUUGCAGGGAAUUGAACUCAUGCUCUGACACUUGCAAGCCAGCAUUUUACCAGCUGGUCAAUCUAUCCAGCAGCUUUUCUCCACCUCCUUCUCACAUUUCCUUUCCUUGCCCUGUUUCCAUAUUUGAUCAAGCCAUAUAAGAACUCCCGCACAGUAGAAAGAAUGUAGACUGUGCAGUCAGACAGACCUGGGUUCGGAACCUGGCUCUACCACUCUUAGCAACUGUGGGAAUGUGGAUAAGUCUUGAAAUUCUCAGUCUGAAACAGGAUGUAGACAAAUACCACCCUCUGAGUGUCAGUGUACAGCACAGCACCCAUUGUAUCUCAUAAGAUUGCCCUAUCAUUCCGUAUAAAGCAUGACAUGGGAUGUGGUUUUCACCUACUGCCUCUUUCUGUUGCUCAUUGAUAUCUAAGGAAUAAACACUAAACAUUUGGGACAUUUCAAAUCACUCAUGGGGCAAGGGGAAGCAUUGUACUCUGCACCUCCAUUGAGAAGAACUAGGCAGGCUGCUAUCUAGAAAGAGAACCAAAGAUGGAGAAUGGAUCCCACUGAGCUAGCAGACUGAGACAGGGAAUGGACGCUACCGGAAUCAACAGACUCACAAGCAGGAAACAGUUGAGCAUCGGGUCCUCGGAUGUGGAAGGAAAGAAGAGACUCUUGACGAUUAGGUGAAGGAGUAUAUUUUAAGAUGAUGGAAGAAUUAUUUUAUUGACUUUGAAAUGACCAGUACAUUCCAAAAAGGUUUACACAAGCUCACCAAUAAGGAAUUCACAAGGCACCGACUGACUGACCAUCUACAAAGUAAGUAAUUAAGAAACAAAGUGUGUAAUUCCCAGACAUCCCCUUCCCCACUUUUUAAGCCUCCCUCUGCCUGGCUAUCCAUUCAGAUUUUGUUUUAUUGCUUCUAACGCCUAUGAUUUUCCCUUGGGGCCUUACAGCUUAUUAAAGUCCUACCCUCAAAUCUCAAAAUACAGUUUUUCCAAAGAGUAGACAAAUUCUAAUGGACUCCCUUCUGAAUUCAAAAUACAAAGCUCUUCAAAGAGCAGGUAGCGCCUUCAGGGAGAGAAUGUUCCUUGCUCUGUUCCUACAGCCACCACUUCCUGUUCCAGAGACAGAAAAUAGAGAAGGAAUGGGGAGAAUAACAUGUCCUGUCCUGACUGUCAAGAUUCGACUGUCACCAGGCUCUCCCACACUACAGCAGCAGCAACAGAGCAACCCUGUCUCUACCAAGCUUAGGAGCCACUGCAUACCAACUGCUCUUGAUAUAUUUUCAAAUAUGAAGGCAAUCAAAAGUGGUGUCAUUGAGUAAGAGUAUAAUAACAUCAGGUUUGUCUUUCCUUUGGGACCUCUGAGCCAAUGGGGUUUUCUGAGUCAAUGAAUUGUUUUGCUUGGUUUUGUUUUUUCUGGUCUGCAAAGUAAGGCCAUAGGCCCUGAUGCCUUCUACCACACGAAGCCUUUCAUAUAGCAAACUUGAACCUUCUGGCAAUCCCCACAAUUUCUUUUCUCUAUAUAGUCAAAGUCUCCACUUCUCUCUGCAGCGGCUUUGAGAGACCCAAACACUGUCCAAAAAUGAUUCUGUGUGACCGAACUUUGUGGGGCAUUUGGGAGUUCUGCGACUCCUUUUGGACACUCACCAGCCUAGAGUGUGGGCGGCAAUACCCUCCUUCCAGCAGAGACCAGGAAGAUAAUACAUUAGACAUCAGCAUCUAGAGCAAUCUCAGACACAGUGCAGUACCCUCUCUGUGGAUGGAUGCAAGUAUAGGUAAAAACCUGAUCAGCGGCCUCAGGCCUAUAGGCCCAACGUGAGACAUGUCUUUGCUCUAUAUGGCUUCCCUGGAAGAGACAGUUGGUACCCAAGACUGUCUAAGCCCUUGCCUGAACCAUAUCCCCAUGCAAUUCCUCCACCUGACAAUGGGGUGCACUGGUACGCCACUUUACCCCGCCCCCAGGCUGAUCUGCAUGUCCUCCAAUGCUAGGGGUGAUUUACACAGCCUGCUAGAGGAUUUUCCAAGAAAACACUCCACAUAAUUGGCCUUUGGUCGAGCUCUCCGGCCGUGAUUUAUUUCUCUGGGACAAGCCAAGGAACGUCUCUCCCCACCUCUGCAAAGCCUCCGGUCCUGGCCUCAAAGUUCAGCAAGUUUCUGGCCAGAGAAUGUUCUUCCUCUCCUCCCACUCAGCCUUUUUUCCCUGUGCCUUGCAAUCUCAUUUGCUAAAUAUACUAAACUGACUGUA